CAGCAGCCACGGUAAUACGAAGGUCCCGAGCGUUGUUCGGAAUCACUGGGCGUAAAGGGAGCGUAGGCGGCGUGGUAAGUCAGAUGUGAAAUCCCGGGGCUCAACCCCGGAACUGCAUCCGAUACUGCCAUGCUAGAGGAUUGGAGAGGUAGCUGGAAUUCUUGGUGUAGCAGUGAAAUGCGUGGAGAUCAAGAGGAACACUCGUGGCGAAAGCGAGCUACUGGACAAUAACUGACGCUGAGGCUCGAAGGCCAGGGUAGCGAAAGGGAUUAGAUACCCCAGUAGUCCCUGUCUCUUAUAC
rnacentral:rRNA from 1 species